rnacentral:rRNA from 1 species
AGUGAACGCUGGCGGUAGGCCUAACACAUGCAAGUCGAACGGCAGCACAGUAAGAGCUUGCUCUUACGGGUGGCGAGUGGCGGACGGGUGAGGAAUACAUCGGAAUCUACUUUUUCGUGGGGGAUAACGUAGGGAAACUUACGCUAAUACCGCAUACGACCUACGGGUGAAAGCAGGGGAUCUUCGGACCUUGCGCGAUUGAAUGAGCCGAUGUCGGAUUAGCUAGUUGGCGGGGUAAAGGCCCACCAAGGCGACGAUCCGUAGCUGGUCUGAGAGAAUGAUCAGCCACACUGGAACUGAGACACGGUCCAGACUCCUACGGGAGGCAGCAGUGGGGAAUAUUGGACAAUGGGCGCAAGCCUGAUCCAGCCAUACCGCGUGGGUGAAGAAGGCCUUCGGGUUGUAAAGCCCUUUUGUUGGGAAAAAAAAGCAGCAGGUUAAUACCCCGCUGUUCUGACGGUACCCAAAGAAUAAGCACCGGCUAACUUCGUG